CUGGCCAACCCCCUUCCCCGUCGGAAGCUCACUUCCCUGCCUGGGAGAAAUCCUCACGCGGCCCCGCGCCUUGGUCUGCGCUGCUCGGACCCGUGCACGUGGUUCCUUGCGUUCGCGCGCCUGGCACCGCUAGGACACCCCGGGGUCCUCCCAAGGCUUGCCCCUUCCGUCAACAUGCUCCUCUUCUCCGUCGUCGGGCUUCUCCAGCGUCGGGACGCUGCUCGCGGCCACCUCUGCCCGAACCCUCGUCGGGCCGCCCCAUCUCCACCGGUUGCUUCCUACCAGGCCGCCGCCCCCUGGUCGCACAGCGCUGCCGUACUAGCCAGCCCGCCCUGCGUCGUCUCCUCGUUGUCGGUCUGCACCUCUGCCCGCGCCUCGACGUGCUCCCGGGGCUGCGCCUCCUCGCAUGGACGUCCGUUUCGCGCGCUGUCGCAUGCCCGUGCGACCUCUGCCCCGCCGUCGACUACCUGCUCGUCGCGGUCCAGCCCCCCUAUGUCGCUCCCUCCCUGGCGGCCCCCAUCUCCUACUCCUUCGACGCCGUCCCGUUUGGCCCGUCGCCGCCCGUAUCGAUCAUUUGCUCGGCAGCCACCCUCCCCAGUAGCGCGACCGCACCCACUGGCGUUCUUGGCCCUGCUCCUAUGGCCGCAGCCCCCUCAGCUCUGGCCACACGGAUAA
rnacentral:misc_RNA from 1 species